ACACACACAAAAACCAUCAAAAACCUUCUAGCCUCUCAUAUCUGCUUCCACACACAUAAUCCUCUUCCCUUACCACCAUAACCUCACAUUAACUCUUUCAUGCUUCUUUUUCUUUCCAUCUCACAAACCUGCUACUUCUCCUUCUUUUUAUAACUCAAACAACACUUCAGCACCAACUUUCACUACAACUUUAACACACA
rnacentral:lncRNA from 1 species